GACGAACGCUGGCGGCGUGCCUAAUACAUGCAAGUAGAACGAGUCGCGAACGGGUGAGUAAUGUCUGGGAAACUGCCUGAUGGAGGGGGAUAACUACUGGAAACGGUAGCUAAUACCGCAUACCAUCAGAUGUGCCCAGAUGGGAUUAGCUUGUUGGGGGGGUAACGGCUCACCAAGGCGACGAUCCCUAGCUGGUCUGAGAGGAUGACCAGCCAUGCUGGAACUGAGACACGGGCCAAUCGCGUACGGGAUGCAGCCGUGGGUAAUAUUGCACAAUGGGGGCAAGCCUGAUGCAGCCCUGCCGCGGGUAUGAAGAAGGCCUUCGGGCUGUAAAGGACUUUCAGCGGGGAGGCGUUACCCGCAGAAUAAGCACCGGCUAACUCCGUGCCAGCAGCCGCGGUAAUUC
rnacentral:rRNA from 1 species